UUUUUAAAAUGAGAGUUUGAUCCUGGCUCAGGACGAACGUUGGCGGCGUGCCUAAUACAUGCAAGUCGAACGAAGUCGCCCAAUUGAUUCUUGGUGCUU
rnacentral:rRNA from 1 species